rnacentral:rRNA from 1 species
AUGUGGGCCACCCCUUUCACGGACGUGUGUGGGCUUAUUGGGCAUCAUGAAGGACUGGUCAUACACACGGACUCUUGCAAAGGUUUAGAGAUAACAAUAGAACAAGUGUGGCCUGAAGUGGAGCAUAGGGAGUAUAUGAGGCAUCUUGUUGCAAAUUUUGGAAAAAAAAUCCACGGGCAGAUGAUAAUGGAGAAGUUUGAUCUAUGGAUGAGGAUAGCAUUAGAAAAAUGGAUUGGCCAUCUCAUAAUACGAAGUGCGAUAAAGGCACUACAUGCCAAAUCCAAAGGGCUGAAGAUGAAGGUAGUUAGACGAAGUGAUGUUCAGGCAGAAAUUACUCUAGUGGACAAAGAGAAUAGGGAAUGGAUGUACCUUGUUUACAUAGAAAAGGAAACAUGUUGUUGCAGGCAAUGGCAGGUCAAGGGGUUGCCAUGGCACUCAGAUGGUGGCCCCGGGGGGGCAGCCGUCGAUGCCUAUGUGCCCUGCAUGAUUACACUCCUCGGGCCAGCAUGGGACGGCGGGACGCUGGAAGCAGGAGUUUUCCACGAGUCGCUUGAAGGCUCCGCCGCCCCCUUCAGCAACGACGACGAGGUGCAUCAGGCCGACUGGGCCUAG